rnacentral:rRNA from 1 species
UACGAAGGGGGCUAGCGUUGUUCGGAAUUACUGGGCGUAAAGCGUGCGCAGGCGGUUUCGUAAGUCUGUCGUGAAAUCCCCGGGCUUAACCUGGGAAUGGCGAUGGAGACUGCGAGGCUAGAGUUUGGCAGAGGGGGAUGGAAUUCCAGGUGUAGCGGUGAAAUGCGUAGAUAUCUGGAGGAACACCGGUGGCGAAGGCGGCAUCCUGGACCAACACUGACGCUGAGGAGCGAAAGCCAGGGGAGCAAACGGG